AAAACUGGUUGAUGUUCCAAGCAUUAUUGAGCCAAGAGAAGCUCUGUCGUGCGCCUGAACAAGUCAACUCCAUUAAAACAACAACUUAAGAGAAUGAAGACAGAAAAAAUCGCUCUUCUUUUUUUGGCCUUUUUCCUUAUGAUCUCUUCUGAAGCUGAAUGCUUCAGUGGAUCUGCGGUUGGAACGGGUCGGAAACAGUGGAAACGUAACAAGAGUUUGUGUGUGGUGGCACGAAACAUGGGCUGCGAUUUGUCAACCAGGGAGAGGCAAGACAAUAAUUAUGUAAAGUGACUUCAACUAGCCAAUCAUGAGAUGAAAGCAAACGGAUCGUGAUGUGCAAUUGAUAAAGUAGCUUAGAAGUAAACGAAACAAAGAAAUAAUGUAACUGAGAAAAAUAAAAUCAAUGAAGACAAAACAAAUAAAAGCAACAUACUUCU